CAUGAGUCCAUGACUGCUAUGAGCAUGCUGUAGUAGGGAUCACUUUUUCUUGAAUUGUGUGUGCAGUCCGGCGACAGUUUAAUCGCCAGCUUACCUUCUCUCUCGUUCCUUCUCGGUGCCAGCUCGUCAUCUUAUCCAACGUGACAGUCCUAUCGCCGGUGUUUCAGAUGUUAUUAGAGCACCCGCAAUGGUAAAGUAAGGUGCUCUCUAUAAAACAUGUAUAUCUCAGCAGUAGACUCGAU
rnacentral:misc_RNA from 1 species